GUUGAAACUCAAAUUACUCCCUAUCAGGGAUUGAAAC
rnacentral:other from 1 species